rnacentral:rRNA from 1 species
UACGUAGGGUGCGAGCGUUGUCCGGAAUUAUUGGGCGUAAAGGGCUCGUAGGCGGUUUGUCGCGUCUGCUGUGAAAACUCGGGGCUUAACUCCGGGCCUGCAGUGGGUACGGGCAGACUAGAGUGCGGUAGGGGAGACUGGAAUUCCUGGUGUAGCGGUGAAAUGCGCAGAUAUCAGGAGGAACACCGGUGGCGAAGGCGGUUCUCUGGGCAUGUCCUGACGCUGAGGAGCGAAAGUGUGGGGAGCGAACAGG